rnacentral:rRNA from 1 species
AGUGUCGUCGNAUCGAAUUCACGCGGCCGCCCUGGCGGAGAGGAGCAUGCGACGUCCGGCCCAAUUCGCCCUAUAGGGGGUCGCAUUAAUUGCACUUCGGGAUAGGCCUGGGAAACUGGGUCUAAUACCGGAUAUGACCUCGGAAUGCAUGUUCUGGGGUGGAAAGAUUUAUCGGUGCGAGAUGGGCCCGCGGCCUAUCAGCUUGUUGGUGAGGUAGCGGCUCACCAAGGCGACGACGGGUAGCCGACCUGAGAGGGUGACCGGCCACACUGGGACUGAGACACGGCCCAGAGUCCUACGGGAGGCAGCAGUGGGGAAUAUUGCACAAUGGGCGCAAGCCUGAUGCAGCGACGCCGCGUGCGGGAUGACGGCCUUCGGGUUGUAAACCGCUUUUGACAGGGACGAAGCGCAAGUGACUGUACCUGUAGAAUAAGGACCGGCCAACUACGUGCCAGCAGCCGCGGUAAUACGUAGGGUCCGAGCGUUGUCCGGAAUUACUGGGCGUAAAGAGCUUGUAGGCGGUUCGUCGCGUCGUUUGUGAAAACUUGGGGCUCAACCUUAAGCUUGCAGGCGAUACGGGCGGACUAGAGUACUUCAGGGGAGACUGGAAUUCCUGGUGUAGCGGUGAAAUGCGCAGAUAUCAGGAGGAACACCGGUGGCGAAGGCGGGUCUCUGGGAAGUAACUGACGCUGAGAAGCGAAAGCAUGGGUAGCAAACAGGAUUAGAUACCCUGGUAGUCCAUGCCGUAAACGGUGGGUACUAGGUGUGGGGCUCCUUCCACGGACUCCGUG